UUAAAUUGAAGAGUUUGAUCAUGGCUCAGAUUGAACGCUGGCGGCAGGCCUAACACAUGCAAGUCGAGCGGCAGCGGGAAAGUAGC
rnacentral:rRNA from 2 species